GAAAAACAAAAUGGGUGUUUCAUAAGAUUUUGUUCUGGAAGGGUAGUGCGAAAUAAUUGAUGCAUUCUAUUAUUCGAUGCGUUUGGAUAGGCAGCGUCGAACGCCCUUUUGCGGAAAUGUACUAUUAUCUGCAUUCUGCGGUCCCUGAUUCAUCGCACACCAAAUGGGCCGAGUUUAACCUUGCUUUUCAGCUUGACCAGUUGAUUAGUGUUGAGUAAGGACGCUUUAAAUAAAGCUGAACUAGUUCAAUGUGUUUUUUGCAAUUAGUAUUAUAUAUAAAACUGCGCGACGUUCCGAAUCUAAAUAAAAGGAACAUCUUAAUCCGGUCAAAAUUAUUACAAAAGGAACGGCAGCAAAAAAUGUUGUGGGAUUCCAUCUUACCUUAUGAGACAUUGGCCCAAG
rnacentral:sRNA from 1 species